rnacentral:pre_miRNA from 1 species
AAUAAGUGCAGUUUUGCACUAUUUACGUUCAACGUUUGACCGUUCGUCUUAUUUGAAAUUUUUUUAUGAUUAGUAUUUUUAUUGCUAUUAGAUAAAACAUGAAUAGUACUUUAUGUGUGACUAAAUAUUUUUAAAUUUUUCAAAUAAGACGAACGGUCAAACGUUGGGCACGGAUAUCCACGACUGCACUUAUU